rnacentral:rRNA from 1 species
AUGAAGAUGAAGAGAUGCAUCCUGCUGAUGCUCGCACUUGAGGCCGCCGUCCUCGUCGCCGGCCGCCCCUCCGCUGUUGCCGUCUCCAACGACGUGGGCACCAUUCUCAUGCCGACCGAAGGCAAAGGGCUUGCAGGGCAAGUGGGAACGGCGGCGGCUUCCAGGCCAUGGGAUUGCUGCGACAACACCAUAUGCACCAGGUCCUUGCCGCCAAUCUGCAUCUGUCUGGACGAGGUCGACGAGUGCGCCUCCACCUGCAUGGCCUGCGUGCCGUCCGUCUCAAACCCAUUCCGCCGCGUCUGCGGAGACCGGUACUACGGCGACCCCGGGCCCAAGUGCACCUACAACACCGUCGCCGGCGACAACAACGACGACGCCCUCGUAGCGGCGGCGGCAGAGGAGGAGAAGCCGUGGGAGUGCUGUGACAUGGCUCUGUGCACCAGGUCAUACCCGCCGAUGUGCCGCUGCGUGGACGAGGUCGAGCAGUGCGCUGCAACCUGCAAGAGCUGCGGGGUGUCCAUCUUGAACCCGUUCCGCCACGUCUGCAACGACUGGUACAACGGCUUCCCAGGUCGCAAGUGCACCGAGGCCGCCCACGCCGGCGGUAAUAACUAG